rnacentral:rRNA from 1 species
AGGAGCUUGCUCCUGUGAUUAGUGRCGAACGGGUGAGUAACACGUGAGUMACCUGCCCCUGACUCUGGKAUAAGCGUUGGAAACGACGUCUAAUACUGGAUACGACUGCCGGCCGCAUGGUCYGGUGGUGGAAAGAUUUUUUGGUUGGGGAUGGACUCGCGGCCUAUCAGCUUGUUGKUGAGGUAAUGGCUCACCRAGGCGACGACGGGUAGCCGGCCUGAGAGGGUGACCGGCUCUACUGGGACUGAGACACGGCCCAGACUCCUACGGGAGGCAGCAGUGGGGAAUAUUGCACAAUGGGCGAAAGCCUGAUGCAGCAACGCCGCGUGAGGGAUGACGGCCUUCGGGUUGUAAACCUCUUUUAGUAGGGAAGAAGCGAAAGUGACGGUACCUGCAGAAAAAGCACCGGCUAACUACGUGCCAGCAGCCGCGGUAAUACGUAGGGUGCAAGCGUUGUCCGGAAUUAUUGGGCGUAAAGAGCUCGUAGGCGGUUUGUCGCGUCUGCUGUG